GAUUUGGGACUCCAUCUGGCCUCAAGUUGUUCCUGCAUAUGGCGCACCUCGGAGAAGGGACCGCGUAGUUGUCCUCGCACUGUGCCCCGAUUAAAGGCGAACGGGCAUUUGUCACGGGGAAGUGUACCCGGCUGUGCUGGAAAAUGGACUUUUCGAUGAGCGUGGGAGCCUGAACUGUCACGGAGCGGAGAGCCGGUGUUAUUGCAGCCGGCCGGCCGCGGUGGCCGUCACCUGUGUUAUCGGCUGUGGCAGGCAUCACCUCCCCCUGAAAGCAUCCCAUUACGGCGGCGCAGAGAGAUGCCAGCUCAUCACGCUCAGAAAGGGUCACUGAGGAUGUGCUCUGUGCCAGAGACCGACGCACCCCGUCCUGCCACCCUCCUAACAAUUCAU